rnacentral:rRNA from 1 species
AUUGAACGCUAGCGGGAUGCUUUACACAUGCAAGUCGAACGGCAGCGCGGACUUCGUUCUGGCGGCGAGUGGCUAACGGGUGAGUAAUUUAUCCGAACGUGCCCAGUAGCGGGGUAUAACUACGCGAAAGCGUAGCUAAUACCGCAUACGCCCUACGGGGGAAAGCAGAUGAUCGUAAGACCUUGCACUAUUGGAGCGGCCGAUAUCGGAUUAGCUAGUUGGUGAGGUAACGGCUCACCAAGGCGACGAUCCGUAGCUGGUUUGAGAGGACGACCAGCCAAACUGGGACUGAGACACGGCCCAGACUCCCACGGGAGGCAGCAGUGGGGAAUUUUGGACAAUGGGGGCAACCCUGAUCCAGCCAUCCCGCGUGUGCGAUGAAGGCAUUCGGGUUGUAAAGCACUUUUGGCAGGAAAGAAACGUCGCGGGCUAAUAUCCCGUGGAACUGACGGUACCUGGAGAAUAAGCACCGGCUAAAUACGUG